rnacentral:rRNA from 1 species
ACAACUUUCAACAAUGGAUCUCUUGGUUCUGGCAUCGAUGAAGAACGCAGCGAAAUGCGAUAAGUAGUGUGAAUUGCAGAAUUCAGUGAAUCAUCGAAUCUUUGAACGCACAUUGCGCCCCUUGGCUAUUCCAUGGGGCAUGCCUGUUCGAGCGUCAUUU